AUUGAACGCUGGCGGCAUGCUUUACACAUGCCAGUCGAACGGUAACAGGCCUUCGGGUGCUGACGAGUGGCGGACGGGUGCGUAAUGCAUCGGAACGUGCCCAGAGGUGGGGGAUAACGCAGCGAAAGCUGUGCUAAUACCGCAUGUGAUCUGAGGAUGAAAGCGGGGGACCAAGCAGCAAUGUUUGGCCUCGCGCCUCUGGAGCGGCCGAUGUCAGAUUAGGUAGUUGGUGGGGUAAAGGCCUACCAAGCCGACGAUCUGUAGCUGGUCUGAGAGGACGACCAGCCACACUGGGACUGAGACACGGCCCAGACUCCUACGGGAGGCAGCAGUGGGGAAUUUUGGACAAUGGGCGCAAGCCUGAUCCAGCAAUGCCGCGUGCGGGAAGAAGGCCUUCGGGUUGUAAACCGCUUUUGUACGGAACGAAAAGGCUCUGGCUAAUACCUGGGGCUGAUGACGGUACCGUAAGAAUAAGCACCGGCUAACUACGUG
rnacentral:rRNA from 1 species